AAUGAACGCUGGCGGCAUGCCUAACACAUGCAAGUCGAACGGCAGCACAGUAAGAGCUUGCUCCUACGGGUGGCGAGUGGCGGACGGGUGACGAAUACAUCGGAAUCCUCUUUUUCGUGGGUGAUAACGGAGGGAAACUUAUGCUAACACAGCAUAUGUCCUACGGGUGUAAGCAGGGGUUCUUCGGACUUUUCGUGAUUGUAAGAGCCGAGGUCGGAUUAGCUAGUUGGCUGGGUAAAGGCCUAGCAAAGCGACGAUCCGUAGCUGGUCUGAGAGGAUGAUCAGCCACACUGGAACUGAGACACGGUCCAGACUCCUACGGGAGGCAGCAGUAGGGAAUAUUGGACAAUGGGCGAAAGCCUGAUCCAGCAAUACCGCGUGAGUGAUGAAGGCCCUCGGGUUGUAAAGCCCUUUUGUUAGGAAAGAAAAAAAGCAGGUUUAUCCCCCGCUGUUCUGACGGUACCCAAAGAAUAAGCACCGGCUAACUUCGUG
rnacentral:rRNA from 1 species